rnacentral:rRNA from 1 species
UACGUAGGGUGCAAGCGUUAAUCGGAAUUACUGGGCGUAAAGCGUGCGCAGGCGGUUUUGUAAGCCAGAUGUGAAAGCCCCGGGCUCAACCUGGGAAUUGCAUUUGAAACUGGAAAACUAGAGUGUGUGAGAGGGGGGUAGAAUUCCAAGUGUAGCGGUGAAAUGCGUAGAGAUUUGGAGGAAUACCAGUGGCGAAGGCGGCCCCCUCGGCACAACACUGACGCUCAGGUGCGAAAGCGUGGGGAGCAAAC